UACAGGGGGGGCAAGCGUUGUUCGGAAUUACUGGGCGUAAAGGGCUCGUAGGUGGCCAACUAAGUCGGACGUGAAAUCCCUCAGCUUAACUGGGGAACUGCGUCCGAUACUGGAUGGCUCGAGUUUGGGAGAGGGAUGCGGAAUUCCAGGUGUAGCGGUGAAAUGCGUAGAUAUCUGGAGGAACACCGGUGGCGCAGGCGGCAUCCUGGACCAACACUGACACUGAGGAGCGAAAGCCAGGGGAGCAAACGGG
rnacentral:rRNA from 1 species